GAUGAACGCUAGCGACAGGCUUAACACAUGCAAGUCGAGGGGCAGCAUAGAAGUAGCAAUACUUUGGUGGCGACCGGCGCACGGGUGAGUAACGCGUAUGCAACCUACCUAUCAGAGGGGAAUAACCCGGCGAAAGUCGGACUAAUACCGCAUAAAACAGGGGCACCGCAUGGUGAUAUUUGUUAAAGAAAUUCGCUGAUAGAUGGGCAUGCGUUCCAUUAGGUAGUUGGUGAGGUAACGGCUCACCAAGCCGACGAUGGAUAGGGGAACUGAGAGGUUGGUCCCCCACACUGGUACUGAGACACGGACCAGACUCCUACGGGAGGCAGCAGUGAGGAAUAUUGGUCAAUGGGCGGGAGCCUGAACCAGCCAAGUCGCGUGAAGGAAGAAGGAUCUAUGGUUCGUAAACUUCUUUUGCAGGGGAAUAAAGUGCAGGACGUGUCCUGUUUUGUAUGUACCCUGAGAAUAAGGAUCGGCUAACUCCGUGCCAGCAGCCGCGGUAAUACGGAGGAUCCGAGCGUUAUCCGGAUUUAUUGGGUUUAAAGGGUGCGUAGGUGGUUUGAUAAGUCAGCGGUGAAAGUUUGCAGCUUAACUGUAAAAAUGCCGUUGAAACUGUCGGACUUGAGUGUAAAUGAGGUAGGCGGAAUGCGUGGUGUAGCGGUGAAAUGCUUAGAUAUCACGCAGAACUCCGAUUGCGAAGGCAGCUUACUAAGCUACAACUGACACUGAAGCACGAAAGCGUGGGGAUCAAACAGGAUUAGAUACCCUGGUAGUCCACGCAGUAAACGAUGAUUACUAGCUGUUUGCGAUACACAGUAAGCGGCACAGCGAAAGCGUUAAGUAGUCCACCUGGG
rnacentral:rRNA from 1 species